AUUGAACGCUGGCGGCAUGCCUUACACAUGCAAGUCGAACGGCAGCACGGGUGCUUGCACCUGGUGGCGAGUGGCGAACGGGUGAGUAAUACAUCGGAACAUGUCCUGUAGUGGGGGAUAGCCCGGCGAAAGCCGGAUUAAUACCGCAUACGAUCUACGGAUGAAAGCGGGGGACCUUCGGGCCUCGCGCUAUAGGGUUGGCCGAUGGCUGAUUAGCUAGUUGGUGGGGUAAAGGCCUACCAAGGCGACGAUCAGUAGCUGGUCUGAGAGGACGACCAGCCACACUGGAACUGAGACACGGCCCAGACUCCUACGGGAGGCAGCAGUGGGGAAUUUUGGACAAUGGGCGAAAGCCUGAUCCAGCAAUGCCGCGUGUGUGAAGAAGGCCUUCGGGUUGUAAAGCACUUUUGUCCGGAAAGAAAUACUUGGCCCUAAUACGGUCGGGGGAUGACGGUACCGGAAGAAUAAGCACCGGCUAACUACGUG
rnacentral:rRNA from 1 species